rnacentral:rRNA from 1 species
ACAUACGGCCACAGCCGCUAGCAGAGCUCGGGAUCCCGUCCGAUCUCCCAUGAGAACCUAGUGAGCGCUAGAUUAGUAGCUAGGUCGGUGACGACUAGCGAAUACCUGGUGUUGUAUGUC